AGGGGAGGGGUAGGGGGUAGGAGGUAGGAGGUGGAGUUUGUACAUUAUGGGUUGGGGAUUGGUUGGGUUGGCUCUUUGGAUUUGGAUGAUUUGGGCUAUUGUUAUUACUGAAUGGACGUUUGGUUUGGGUUUGGAGUAUUAUGUUAUUGUAUGAACUUGAUUUGUAUGAUAUGGGUACGCUUUUGAGACAGCUCCUCCCCCUCGAACAUUGUUCUUCUGUUUUCUCCUCCUAUUUUUUUUCAACUUCAGAAUCCUCUUCAACACGCAACAACAAAAAAAUAAAAAUUUUAAAAAGGAGAUGAGGUUUGCAGUUUGAAAUAACACGAUCCGGUGCAACUUUUCCACAGGUAGUCAGAAUAAUGCUAUACCGAGAUACAGCCGCUCAUAAUCCUCCAAUGAAUGAUUGAGCGCAGAAACCGUGCGAUAUAGCUACUAAACUAUACAAAAGAAUGACAAGGUAUAUAUAUUCAUGUGUAAGGAAACAAAAAAAAUAAGGAAGUAAAAGCACUUUGCAGCCAUGCAUAUUCAACUAAAACAGGAAAUAUACGUAAUAUACCUUCACAAACAGAAACAGAGGAAAAUAGCAGCUAGGUAAUGUAUACACAGUAUACACAGUUUAUAUAUAAGGUUAUGUACAUCAUGCAGCAAAUGAUGAGGGGUUAUAAAACUCACAGAAGAAUAUAAUCAAAGGAUCAGAUAUAAAAUGAAGAGAAAAGCAGUAUGUAAGCCUCUCAAAUCAAUUCUAGAUAGUUUCAAUGUGUCAUUAAAAAGAAAAAGAAAAGAAAAGAAAAGAAAAGAAAAUUCAUAAAAAUUGAAGUACUCAAGCAUCAACUCAGUACUGUACAUUUAAGACGACCGAGGUAGUGGAAGAAGGGCGAAGAAGAGACAGAUCAGAGAUAAGUUAUGAACAGAAUGCAAGGGGCAAGGAAAUAAUAUUCAGAAGAAAAAAAGAAAAGG
rnacentral:sRNA from 2 species